UACCUCGUUUUACCUCAGCACAGCGCAGCCGGUCCCGGCUUGUCUCUGUCCUGCUCCUGGCUCUGCCGCCCACUUAGGGAGCAGGAAAAGCUCUUGCCCACAUCCUCGGGGAAUGCCACAAUGUGACAGAGCCGUGACCGCAGCCCCUCAGCCCUCCUGAGGGGAUACACCCGGGAUACAGAGGGCCCUGCUGCCAUUGCCUGCUGUGUGGAGGGCACUCACUGUGCAGGCUGGCUUAGAGCUGCACAAGGACUUUCAGAGAGGAAGCUGAAUUAGAAGAGUAAGAAUGAUUUAAACAACAAAGCUGUUCCCAUUUGAAGACACUGCUGUGGUGUAUUUUGGACACUGGAGCUUGGUACUUCCCAUUCGUGCUACCCUGCCAUGUUUUCCAGCUACCCUGCCAGCACACAGGUCACAUGAGAUGGACACUGAGCUCAACUCAGCUGGAAGAACUGCAUCCUGCAUAUGUUCUCCUGCUGGAGACUUCCAUGCUGUAAGCUUUGCCUGUGACAAAGCUGGAAUUACCGCGGCUCUUUGGGAGCAGCAGAUAUACAGCACAAUGGAAAGUACCGAAUGCUUAGGGAAAGAGCAUGAGAACAGAGACAACUCAUAGAGGUCCUGCUCAUGGCAACCCCUGCUCAGAGAUGCCUGGCAGUGAGCGGUCUGACCCCUGCCUUCAGCAGGUGCCAGUGCUCGUGAAUUUAUCUC